GACGAACGCUGGCGGCGUGCUUAACACAUGCCAGUCGAACGGAAAGGCCCUGCUUUUGUGGGGUGCUCGAGCGGCGAACGGGUGAGUAACACGUGAGUAACCUGCCCUUGACUUUGGGAUAACUUCAGGAAACUGGGGCUAAUACCGGAUAGGAGCUCCUGCUGCAUGGUGGGGGUUGGAAAGUUUCGGCGGUUGGGGAUGGACUCGCGGCUUAUCAGCUUGUUGGUGGGGUAGUGGCUUACCAAGGCUUUGACGGGUAGCCGGCCUGGGAGGGUGACCGGCCACAUUGGGACUGAGAUACGGCCCAGACUCCUACGGGAGGCAGCAGUGGGGAAUAUUGCACAAUGGGCGGAAGCCUGAUGCAGCAACGCCGCGUGCGGGAUGACGGCCUUCGGGUUGUAAACCGCUUUCGCCUGUGACGAAGCGUGAGUGACGGUAAUGGGUAAAGAAGCACCGGCUAACUACGUG
rnacentral:rRNA from 1 species